AGCUAAUACUUGCUUUAGCACUCUUGAUUUAUUUCUUGAGUGUGUACUUGUUAAGCCUUAUAAGAAAAGAGUUAUUAACUUAAGGAAUUAUAACAAAGAAGUAACACGUAAUGGAUCAUUCCAUUUUUAGUGUGUACCAAUCGAGUUUCUGACCUAUCAGCUUUUGAUGUUAGGGUAUUGGCCUAACAUGGCUAUGACGGGUAACGGGGAAUUAGAGUUCGAUUCCGGAGAGGGAGCCUGAGAAAUAGCUACCACAUCUAAGGAAGGCAGCAGGCGCGUAAAUUACCCAAUUCUAAAGAAGAGAGGUAGUGACAAGAAAUAACAAUACAAGGCCAAUCUGGCUUUGUAAUUGGAAUGAUGGGAAUUUAAAACCUUCCCAAAAUUCAAUUGGAGGGCAAGUCUGGUGCCAGCAGCCGCGGUAAUUCCAGCUCCAAUAGCGUAUAUUAAAAUUGUUGCAGUUAAAACGCUCGUAGUUGAAUCUCAAAGAAUCGAUAUUUUAAGUAACGCUUCUAGCUACAAAUCCACAUAACUGAUGCCUCCGCGUAUCGACUUUGUGCGCAUUUUAGCUAUUAUGUGUUCUUUUAAUUAAAAUGAUUCUUUUUAAGAUUCAUCUAUUAAAAAUUUGCUUCGGCAUAAUUUUUUUUGAUGGUCUUGUUACUUUGAGUAAAUUAGAGUGUUCAAAGCAAACAGAUAUAGCAUUUGUGCGUUUGAAUACUACAGCAUGGAAUAACAAAAUUGAACAAGUCAGAAUUUUUUUGUUCUUUUUUCUUAUUUUGGCUUAGUUACGAUUAAUAGGAGUAGCUUAGGGGCAUUUGUAUUCAGAUGUCAGAGGUGAAAUUCUUAGAUUUUCUGGAGACAAACAACUGCGAAAGCAUUUGCCUAAAAUACUUCCAUUAAUCAAGAACGAAAGUUAAGGGAGUGAAGACGAUCAGAUACCGUCGUAAUCUUAACCAUAAACUAUGCCGACUAGGCUUUGGAUGAAAGAUUUUAAAAUAAGAGUUUU
rnacentral:rRNA from 1 species